GCUCACAACUGUUAUUCUAAGGUUACCCUCAAAAUCAAAAGAGUUGAUCAAAAUGAAUGUGUUCAGAAUGUCUUUGAGCUCGGGUGUGGCGAUAAGAGCAGUGCUGUGCAGAGUACAGCUCAGGAGCAGUCACGCCAGUCCCAGGUCUGCACCUGUUAAAGUUUUAUAUGAUGGGCUUUGUCCCAUAUGUGUGACAGAGAUCCGGUUUCUCCAGUAUCUGCAGAGGAAACAACCUGGCAAAGUGGAUUUUAUCGAUAUCUCUCUCCCAGGAUAUGAUGGAGCAAAGCACAAUGACAUCAGCUACGAGAUGGCCAUGGAGGAAAUGCAUGUUAUAGAUGAGAAAAAUACGGUUCACCGUGGCGUUCCCGCAUUCUAUGUUAUGUACUCUGCAGUGGGACUCGGAUGGUUGGGGCGCCUCCUCAUGUGGCCUCCUGUAAGACCUUUAAUGGAUAAAUUUUAUGACAUAUUUGCCAGAAAUCGCCUAAAGUGGACAGGGCGUGGAGGUGAAUGCACCACUGGACGCUGUGAAAAGAAAACAAACUGAAAUCAAAAAUUUCAGUAGGUACUCCACUGUGGGCUUUAUAUGCACUUUAUUAAC
ensembl:lncRNA